rnacentral:rRNA from 1 species
UGCGUAGGUGGUGAGGUAAGUCGGAUGUGAAAUCUCGGAGCUCAACUCCGAAAUGGCAUUGGAAACUACCUUGCUAGAGGGUUGGAGGGGGGACUGGAAUGCUUGGUGUAGCAGUGAAAUGCGUAGAUAUCAAGCGGAACACCAGUGGCGAAGGCGAGUCCCUGGACAACUCCUGACACUGAGGCACGAAAGCUAGGGAGCAAACA